rnacentral:tRNA from 1 species
UCCUGAAUAGCUCAGGUGGUUAGAGCAUGGUGCUGAUAAUGCCAAGGUUGCAGCUUCGAUCCCUGUAGGAG